rnacentral:rRNA from 1 species
UACGUAGGGGGCAAGCGUUGUCCGGAUUCAUUGGGCGUAAAGAACUCGUAGGCGGUUUGGCAAGUCGGGUGUGAAAACUCCGGGCUCAACUCGGAGACGCCACUCGAUACUGCCAUGACUCGAGUCCGGUAGGGGAGUGCGGAAUUCCUGGUGUAGCGGUGAAAUGCGCAGAUAUCAGGAGGAACACCGAUGGCGAAGGCAGGCCUCUGGGCCGAUACUGACGCUGAGGAGCGAAAGCGUGGGGAGCGAACAGG